rnacentral:rRNA from 1 species
UACGAAGGGGGCUAGCGUUGUUCGGAAUUACUGGGCGUAAAGCGCACGUAGGCGGACUACUAAGUCAGGGGUGAAAUCCCGGGGCUCAACCCCGGAACUGCCUUUGAUACUGAUAGUCUCGAGUCCGGAAGAGGUGAGUGGAAUUCCGAGUGUAGAGGUGAGAUUCGUAGAUAUUCGGAGGAACACCAGUGGCGAAGGCGGCUCACUGGUCCGGUACUGACGCUGAGACACGAAAGCGUGGGGAGCAAACAGG